CCUACGGGAGGCAGCAGUGGGGAAUAUUGGGCAAUGGGCGCAAGCCUGACCCAGCAACGCCGCGUGAAGGAAGAAGGCUCUCGGGUUGUAAACUUCUUUUGACAGGGAAGAGUAGAAGACGGUACCUGUCGAAUAAGCCACGUCUAACUACGUGGCAGCAGCGGACGUAAUACGUAGGUGGCAAGUGUUGUCCGGAUUUACUGGGUGUAAAGGGCGUGUAGCCGGGUUUAGAAGUCAGAUGUGAAAUCCUGAGGCUUAACCGCAGAACUGCCUUUGAAACUGUUGAUCUUGAGAACUGGUGAGGUAGACGGAAUUCCUGGUGUAGCGGUGAAAUGCGUAGAGAUUAGGCGGAACACCAGUGGCGAAGGCGGUCUGCUGAACAGCAACUGACGGUGAGGCGCGAAAGCGUGGGGAGCAAACAGGAUUAGAUACCCCAGUAGUC
rnacentral:rRNA from 1 species